GGGCCAUACCAGAGGGGAGUUUCCAUGUUUAUUUAUGUUGUCAUGGGCUGGUGAAACAGUUCCACUGUUAUUCCUCCUACAGAGUUAGAUGGUGAACAUGUCAUAAUAUGAACUCCUCAUUACA